rnacentral:tmRNA from 1 species
ACUGGUUUCGACGGGGAUAAUAGAGGUGCGAGAAGCGAGCUGCGGACUCCGGGGCCGCAUCAACAACCUGGAACUUAAAUUAAACGCAAACAACGAUAAUUACGCUUUAGCUGCUGCUUAAAGCAGCUACGUCUUACCUGUAGAGCCCGCGCUAUAGGAAAAGGCGACAAUUUAGCGGGGAACGAACCUAACAAAGCUUUGAGUUAGGCCGGAAUUUAUGAAGCUACUGAAGCCGGAAUCCUGUCAGUGGGAGUCCGGUGGAGGGAAUGUCAAUACACUGACUGCGCUCGGAGAUGCUUUCGCCGAUAUAUCUUCGGACAGGGGUUCGAUUCA